UGCAGUCGAGCGGGGGAGGUUGCUUCGGUAACUGACCUAGCGGCGGACGGGUGAGUAAUACUUAGGAAUCUGCCUAUUAAUGGGGGACAACAUCUCGAAAGGGAUGCUAAUACCGCAUACGCCCUACGGGGGAAAGCAGGGGAUCACUUGUGACCUUGCGUUAAUAGAUGAGCCUAAGUCGGAUUAGCUAGUUGGUGGGGUAAAGGCCUACCAAGGCGACGAUCUGUAGCGGGUCUGAGAGGAUGAUCCGCCACACUGGGACUGAGACACGGCCCAGACUCCUACGGGAGGCAGCAGUGGGGAAUAUUGGACAAUGGGGGGAACCCUGAUCCAGCCAUGCCGCGUGUGUGAAGAAGGCCUUAUGGUUGUAAAGCACUUUAAGCGAGGAGGAGGCUCUCUUGGUUAAUACCCAAGAUGAGUGGACGUUACUCGCAGAAUAAGCACCGGCUAACUCUGUGCCAGCAGCCGCGGUAAUACAGAGGGUGCGAGCGUUAAUCGGAUUUACUGGGCGUAAAGCGUGCGUAGGCGGCUUUUUAAGUCGGAUGUGAAAUCCCCGAGCUUAACUUGGGAAUUGCAUUCGAUACUGGGAAGCUAGAGUAUGGGAGAGGAUGGUAGAAUUCCAGGUGUAGCGGUGAAAUGCGUAGAGAUCUGGAGGAAUACCGAUGGCGAAAGGCAGCCAUCUGGCCCUAAUACUGACGCUGAGGUACGAAGCAUGGGGAGCAAACAGGAUUAAAUACCCUGGUAGUCCAUGCCGUAACGAUGUCUACUAGCAGU
rnacentral:rRNA from 1 species